GGGCGUGUGGCUCAGUGGUAGAGCGUCCGCUUUGCAUCAUGGCGACCCGCAAGGGCCACUAGAAAACAAUUGCGGAAGGUCCAGGUUUCGAUCACCUGCCCGUCCA
rnacentral:tRNA from 1 species